GGGGAAUAUUGCACAAUGGGCGCAAGCCUGAUGCAGCCAUGCCGCGUGUGUGAAGAAGGCCUUCGGGUUGUAAAGCACUUUCUGCGAGGAGGAAGGGUAGUGUGUUAAUAGCACAUUGCAUUGACGUUACUCGCAGAAGAAGCACCGGCUAACUCCGUGCCAGCAGCCGCGGUAAUACGGAGGGUGCAAGCGUUAAUCGGAAUUACUGGGCGUAAGGCGCACGCAGGCGGUUUGUUAAGUCAGAUGUGAAAUCCCCGCGCUUAACGUGGGAACUGCAUUUGAAACUGGCAAGCUAGAGUCUUGUAGAGGGGGGUAGAAUUCCAGGUGUAGCGGUGAAAUGCGUAGAGAUCUGGAGGAAUACCGGUGGCGAAGGCGGCCCCCCUGGACAAAG
rnacentral:rRNA from 1 species